CACUUUCGUGCUCAAGAUGAGUGCCCUAGAAGAGGUUAUAAUGAAACUCAGUGAGGAGCUAAAGGAAGUGAAAAGAGGCUUAGACACUGAACAGAGAGUAACAACGAAAUAAGAAAAGAAACCAUAUACUUGAUGUGGAAAAAAAGAGAGAAAAAAAGGAAAGAGCUAAACAAAUAAACAAACAAAAACAAAAAAUACCCAAGACUAAGAGGCGCCGUUGCAAAGGCAUUGCCUCGACCCAUAACUAC